AUUGAACGCUGGCGGCAGGCCUAACACAUGCAAGUCGAACGGUAACAGGAAACAGCUUGCUGUUUCGCUGACGAGUGGCGGACGGGUGAGUAAUGUCUGGGAAACUGCCUGAUGGAGGGGGAUAACUACUGGAAACGGUAGCUAAUACCGCAUAACGUCGCAAGACCAAAGGGGGGGACCCUCGGGCCUCUUGCCAUCGGAUGUGCCCAGAUGGGAUUAGCUUGUUGGUGGGGUAACGGCUCACCAAGGCGACGAUCCCUAGCUGGUCUGAGAGGAUGACCAGCCACACUGGAACUGAGACACGGUCCAGACUCCUACGGGAGGCAGCAGUGGGGAAUAUUGCACAAUGGGCGCAAGCCUGAUGCAGCCAUGCCGCGUGUAUGAAGGAGGCCUUCGGGUUGUAAAGUACUUUCAGCGGGGAGGAAGGGAGUAAAGUUAAUACCUUUGCUCAUUGACGUUACCCGCAGAAGAAGCACCGGCUAACUCCGUG
rnacentral:rRNA from 1 species